GCUUUCAUAGGAUAACAGCUCAUCCGUUGACCUUAGGAGUCAAUAAUUCUUGGUGCAAAUCCAAGUGAAAGCU
rnacentral:tRNA from 1 species